rnacentral:rRNA from 1 species
GACGAACGCUGGCGGCGUGCUUAACACAUGCAAGUCGAACGGAAAGGCCCUGCUUUUGUGGGGUGCUCGAGUGGCGAACGGGUGAGUAACACGUGAGUAACCUGCCCUUGACUUUGGGAUAAAUUCAGGAAACUGGGGCUAAUACCGGAUAGGAGAUCCUGCUGCAUGGGGGGGGUUGGAAAGAUUCGGCGGUUGGGGAUGGACUCGCGGCUUAUCAGCUUGUUGGUGGGGUAGUGGCUUACCAAGGCUUUGACGGGUAGCCGGCCUGGGAGGGUGACCGGCCACAUUGGGACUGAGAUACGGCCCGGACUCAUACGGGAGGCAGGGGUGGGGAAUAUUGCACAAAGGGCGGAGGCCUGAGGCAGCAACGCCGCGUGCGGGAUGACGGCCUUCGGGUUGGAAACCGCUUUCGCCUGUGACGAAGCGUGAGUGACGGUAAUGGGUAAAGAAGCACCGGCUAACUACGU